UUCUCCAAGCUCAGCAUCACAUUACUGGAAUGGGACAUGAGAAAGUGUCAAAAUGGGUUGCUGUUUCCCGGGCAGUAUGGCCAUGUUCCAGAAGCAUUCUCUCCUAUGUUUUGUCCACAUGUAUGGCAGGCAUCCUCAGAGGUUGUGAGGUAUCUCACAACCUCUGAGGAUGCCUGCUUCUGGAACAUUAUGUAUUAUUAUGUAUAACAUUAUUAUAUAUGCUGGAACUCAAUUGACAGACCCAGUCUUUUAGACUCGGAACAUGCCCAUCUGUAUUUUAUAAGUGUUUUUAUGAAUGUCUGAUGUAAUUUAAUAACUUUUUAAUUGAUUCACAAUGUAUUGUACAAUUUUAUAUAUGUGGUUUAUUGUAAGCCGCCCUGAGUCCCCUAUUGGGUUAUAAAUAUUGUAAUAAAUAAAUAAAAUAUUAUUUCUUCCAUUUCCCCCCAGUUGCUUGAGAGUUCCAGUUCCUUGAGUUCUGGUUAACUGAGAGUCUACUGUAACAGAGGCAGCAAAGCUCCAUGUGGCACAACUGAACUCAAAUGUGGGGAAAAUAUCCCUUCCAACAGGGAUUCGUGGGGUUGUCUCUAAGCAGGUUCCUAUCUCUCAAUCUUGUAAAAUGGAGGCAAGAACUGCUGAGUUCAUUAACUUUCUGUAAGACAAAUAAUGGCUUCUAAUAAUCAACACUGGGCUGGACCACUAAAACUCCUGCCUAUUCUCCAACUUCCCUAUUAUCUCAGGCACUGCCAUCUUCAAAUCCCUUUGUUGUUGUCUCCUAGGGUGCUGUAGAAUAAAUGAAGCUUGACACCACUUUAUUGACAUGGUCCAAUGCUAUGGAAUCAUCUGAUUUGUAGUCUCCUGAGGAAUCAGUACUCUUAGAUAGAAAACCCUAAAUACCUUGUAAAACUACAACUCCCAUGACUGCAUUGCAUGGAACCACAGCAGUGAAAGUAGGUUCAAGCUGCAGUAAUUGUUGCGUAUUGAUACACUGAAUGUCUUUUCCAAGCCAUGGCAAACCUAAGACAAAGCUAUCAUGGGGCUGUGUGAGUACAUCUACACCAGGCAUGGGCCCUCCAGGUGUUUUGGACUUCAACUCCCACAAUUAUGGGAAUUGAAGUCCAAAACACCUGGAGGGCUGAAGUUUGCCCAUGCCUGAUCUACUCUGAUGAAUUAAUGAGGUUUGACACUUGACUGAAUGAUAUGGCAUGCUAGGAGUUGUAGUUUGGUGAGGCACAAGUCCUCUUCGGCAGAGAAGGCGGAAGACCUUGUGAAACUGCAAACCCCAUGAUUCCAGAACAUAGACCCAUGGCACUUUAAGAGGUGUCAAACU
rnacentral:lncRNA from 1 species